AUGGCGGGAGCGGCGAAGGCGUCAUGGAUGGUGGCGAUGAGCGUCGGCGCCGUGGAGGCGCUCAAGGACCAGGCUGGGCUCUGCCGAUGGAACUACGCCCUCAGGUCCAUCAUCCACCGGGCCGCCAAGGCCAGGGCCAACGUCCGCGGCGGCGUCUCGCAGGGCGCCAAGCAGCUUCCAGCCUCCGCGGCGGCGGCGGCGGAGAGGCGGCGAGCGGAGAAGGCCGAGGAGGGGGUGAGGACGGUGAUGUACCUCAGCUGCUGGGGUCCCAAUUAG
rnacentral:rRNA from 1 species